GAUGAACGCUGGCGGCGUGCUUAACACAUGCAAGUCGAACGAUGAAGCCCAGCUUGCUGGGUGGAUUAGUGGCGAACGGGUGAGUAACACGUGAGUAACCUGCCCUUGACUCUGGGAUAAGCCUGGGAAACUGGGUCUAAUACUGGAUAUGACUUCUCAUCGCAUGGUGGGGGGUGGAAAGAUUUAUUGGUCUUGGAUGGACUCGCGGACUAUCAGCUUGUUGGUGAGGUAAUGGCUCACCAAGGCGACGACGGGUAGCCGGCCUGAGAGGGUGACCGGCCACACUGGGACUGAGACACGGCCCAGACUCCUACGGGAGGCAGCAGUGGGGAAUAUUGCACAAUGGGCGCAAGCCUGAUGCAGCGACGCCGCGUGAGGGAUGACGGCCUUCGGGUUGUAAACCUCUUUCAGUAGGGAAGAAGCGAGAGUGACGGUACCUGCAGAAGAAGCGCCGGCUAACUACGUG
rnacentral:rRNA from 1 species